CCUCCUUUUCUUGGCGGGGGCUGGGAGUGCAGUCCUGGUCCCUGUUAUGUACCGAGGCAGAGGGAGCUGGACUCCAGUCCCCUCGGCGUCAUGUCUUCGGUGCUGGCGGCUGCCCAGCUGCUGGUUCUAUCCUCAAACGCCGGGACAAGG